CGACCCGCAAGGGUCACCUAGCCAACUGACGUUGUUAGUGAAAAGUUUUUUCACAAAUAGAGCCAAUAGCUUUUUUUGCUAUUGGCUAUUUUUUU
rnacentral:sRNA from 1 species